rnacentral:misc_RNA from 1 species
UGAGAGGUUUUCCUAGUAUCAUGACAACAUGAAGUUGGUGAAAAACCUAUAGAGUCUUCUUCACUGGGAACUUCUUCAGACGAGAAGCCAGAAACAGAUCCACUGUUUGAGUUGAGUUGCUUGCAGUAACUAACUAACUCUUGAGAGAUAGCCAAUGAAUCAGAUGCAUCAACUUCUGUUUCUCUUACCAUUGGCUGCAAAUGGUCAUUCUUGUUCAUACUCAGCCAGUUAAUGCUUUUUGAUUCAACUUCAAUCUUGCAAGAAGCACCAUCAGUACACAUUUUGAAAGGUUGAUCACCAUGUGAAACUUCAAGACCUGCCUUGGAAAAUUGUACUGCCAUCCUGCGUUUUUCUCUCACAGUUUCAACUCGACUUAUAUUUCUUGAUGAUCGCAGAAGUGAAAAAGCAUCCUCUGGUAUCUUGUAUUUCCUAAAAAAAUAAUUUUAUAGUGGUUUUCAUACUUUGUAAAAGCUUCCUGAAAAGUUAACAGAAAAAAUAAAAGUUAAGCAUCUGGGGGCUAAAAGGCAGUGACUUCUCAGUGCUUUUUGCCAGUAAAAAUGCUUUCUCCUUUUCAUGCUGCAGAAACCAAAAGCUGUCUUUAACUUUGAUGAACAUAAAAAUGAAGAAAAGCAAGAUAAUCCGUAUUCAAGCACGACACACCUCCUGUUUCUUCAACUUUGUUUCCUGAGAUCUGCUCAACUUGAGGUUUUCCUUUUUUGGACCCCUUCAUUAUUCUCCUGAUUCACGCCUUUCCUUUUAUCAUUCUACUCUAAAGGGCUUAUAAAGAAUAGGAUUAUAUGUCUUCUAGUCCUGAAUGUGAGAGCAAAGCUGAA